rnacentral:rRNA from 1 species
UCCCGCCGACCCCGACUGCUAUCGGAUUGAGAUUUAGCCAUGCGAGUCGAACGUCCCCCUGUUGCGGGGGGCGUGGCGUACGGCUCAGUAACACGUAGUCAACCUGCCCUGGAGACAAGGACAACCCCGGGAAACUGGGAUUAAUCCUUGAUAGGUCAUCUCAUCUGGAAGGAGAGAUGGCUUAAAGGGGUACGCGGGCUUCUUCCGCGAAUCUGCUCCAGGAUGGGACUGCGUCCGAUCAGGCUGUUGGCGGGGUAAUGGCCCACCAAACCUGUAACCGGUACGGGCCUUGAGAGAGGUGGCCCGGAGAUGGACACUGAGAGAAGGGUCCAGGUCCUACGGGGCGCAGCAGGCGCGAAACCUUCGCAAUGCGCGAAAGCGUGACGAGGUUAAUCCGAGUGACUCCCGCUGAGGGGGUCUUUUGUCAGCUGUAAAUAGGCAGGCGAAUAAGGGGAGGGCAAGCCUGGUGUCAGCCGCCGCGGUAAUACCAGCUCCUCGAGUGGUCGGGGCGAUUAUUGGGCCUAAAGCAUCCGUAGCCGGUUCCGUAGGUCCUCUGUUAAAUCCAACCGCUUAACGGUUGACCUGCAGAGGAUACCGCGGGACUAGGAGGCGGGAGAGGCGGACGGUACUCCGCGUGUAGGGGUAAAAUCCUUUGAUCCGCGGAAGACCACCAGUGGCGAAGGCGGUCCGCCAGAACGCGCUCGACGGUGAGGGAUGAAAGCUGGGGGAGCGAACCGGAUUAGAUACCCGGGUAGUCCCAGCCGUAAACGAUGCUAGCUAGAUGAUUCAUUCGCAAGUCGCGAAUGAAGUGUCGCAGGGAAGCCGUUAAGCUAGCCGCCUGGGGAGUACGGUCGCAAGACUGAAACUUAAAGGAAAUUGCCGGGG